CAUAAUAUUCAAGAGCAGAGUAAGAGAAUUCUGAAAUUGUUUCAUUUAAAAUCUCUAUACAAUUAUUAAUAUUAUUAUUUUCAUACUAUAUUAUUACUUAAAAUAAGAAGGCUAUCUGUAAAAAUAAUUUUUAAUAGUAUGACUUCCACGACGAUUGUAUAUCAUAAAACGUCUUAAUUUUGUUCCUCAUUAUUUAUAUUAUUAUUGAUCAAUUUAGUCAAAAUUAGAUUGAAAACAGCAAUUAAAUAUAAUUUAAGUGUUAAGAUAAUUUUAAGAGUAUACCUCUGUAAAUUUGUUAGUAAAAAUCAUUUUGCGCGGAAAAGAACCACUAGGACAGUAGUUAUAGUU